AAGGUAAACUAUGCAGUCGCAUACGGUUUGUAUGAGGAAAGUCCGAGCUCCACAGGGCAAGAAUGCCGGAUAACGUCCGGUAGAGGCAACUCUAAGGAUAGUGCAACAGAGAGAUACCGCCAGUAAAAGCUGGUAAGGGUGGAAAGGCGAGGUAAGAGCUCACCGGCAAUUUGGUGACAAGUUGGCCAUGUAAACCCCAUUCGGAGCAAGACCAAGUAGAGGCAUGAAAGAGGGCUGCCCGUCCUUCCUCGGUGGUAGGUUGCUGGAUUUUGCCGGUAACGGCAGAACGAGAUAGAUGACUGCACACGACAGAACUCGGCUUAUCGGUUUGCCUUUGUU
rfam:Filifactor alocis ATCC 35896, complete genome.